GAGCAGACGAUGAAAGAAUAAAAAAUAUGCUACUGAUAACUCCGUGAAGCUUCAACAACAAAAUAUUCGAGCCUUUUAAAACUGAUGCUCA
rnacentral:snoRNA from 1 species